UACGAAGGGGGCUAGCGUUGCUCGGAAUCACUGGGCGUAAAGCGCACGUAGGCGGAUUCCUAAGUCAGGGGUGAAAUCCCAGGGCUCAACCCUGGAACUGCCUUUGAUACUGACGAUCUGGAGAUCGGGAGAGGUUGGUGGAAUUCCGAGUGUAGAGGUGAAAUUCGUAGAUAUUCGGAGGAACACCAGAAGCGAAGGCGGCCAACUGGCCCGAUACUGACGCUGAGGCGCGAAAGCGUGGGGAGCAAACAGG
rnacentral:rRNA from 1 species